GAAAUCUUGUUCCAUGUGACACUGUUGAGACAACCAAGCCACCAAGUUGUUGACUUCAAGUUCAUCUCCUCCAGUAGCUGAUUUCAUGGGUUCUUACACCAGUCCUUUGUGGCAACAAUAUCUAGAAUUCAAGGGCAAAUGUCUUCCACAGAGAAGCCCAGAUUUAUGGAUUCAUGCAGGCUUGCAAGGAUCUCCUAAGAGUCUCUAGAUAAGAUGCAGGAAGGCUACACUUGCAUCAAAGUAUUUUUUAGGAAUCUCUUUAAACCCAGAGAUUUUAGUUCAUGAAUACUAGUUCGAAUGGUUUAAACACCUAAAUGUCAGAUGCAGAAGUUAUUUCAGCCCAAAGGAAAAUCAUCACAAUGUGUGCAUUAGUACCCUAAGGUUUAGUGAUCUCAACACCCAAAAAUUCAGCCCUGGCAAGUUGACUGAGAACAUCUGAGAUACUUACCCAUCCUUUCAGAGGCAGAGGAAAGGGAUAAGAAGAAUCAAAAACAAGCUGGAAAACCUAGAUGGGGAGCAAAGGUUUCUUAAAACUAUCCAUGGAAA